rnacentral:rRNA from 1 species
GACGUAGGGCGCGAGCGUUGUCCGGAUUUAUUGGGCGUAAAGAGCUCGUAGGCGGCUUGUCGCGUCGACUGUGAAAUCCCGCGGCUCAACUGCGGGUCUGCAGUCGAUACGGGCAGGCUAGAGUUCGGUAGGGGAGACUGGAAUUCCUGGUGUAGCGGUGAAAUGUGCAGAUAUCUGGAGGAACACCGGUGGCGAAGGCGGCAUCCUGGACCGGUAUUGACGCUGAGGCGCGAAAGCCAGGGGAGCAAACGGG